CAGUCUCAGUUCGGAUUGAAGGCUGAAAUUCGCCUUCAUGAAGCCGGAAUUGCUAGUAAUGGCAGGUCAGCAUACUGCCGUGAAUACGUUCCCGGGCCUUGUACACACCGCCCGUCACACCAUGGGAGCCGGAAAUGCCCGAAGCCUGUGACCCAACCCAAUAGGGAGGGAGCAGUCGAAGGUGGAGCCGGUAACUGGGGUGAAGUCGUAACAAGGUAAC
rnacentral:rRNA from 1 species